rnacentral:rRNA from 1 species
AACGAACGCUGGCGGCAGGCCUAACACAUGCAAGUCGAACGCUGCAGCAAUGCAGAGUGGCAGACGGGUGAGUAACGCGUGGGAACCUUCCCAAUGGUACGGAAUAGCCCAGGGAAACUUGGGGUAAUACCGUAUAAGCCCCAUGGGGGAAAGAUUUAUCGCCAUUGGAUGGGCCCGCGUCGGAUUAGCUAGUUGGUGAGGUAACGGCUCACCAAGGCGACGAUCCGUAGCUGGUUUGAGAGAAUGACCAGACACACUGGGACUGAGACACGGCCCAUACUCCUACGGGAGGCAGCAGUGGAGAAUCUUGGACAAUGGGCGAAAGCCUGAUCCAGCCAUGCCGCGUGAGUGACGAAGGCCUUAGGGUUGUAAAGCUCUUUUGGCGGGGACGAUAAUGACGGUACCCGCAGAAUAAGUCCCGGCUAACUUCGUGCCAGCCGCCGCCGUAA